rnacentral:rRNA from 1 species
GUUGAACGCUGGCGGCGUGCCUAACACAUGCAAGUCGAGCGAAGCGGGGACGGGUGAGUAACAUGUGGAUAACCUCCUAUAAGACUGGGUUAACUUUGGGAAACCGGAGCUAAACCGGUUACUUAUCGAAGGAUCCGCGCUGCAUUAGCUAGUUGGUAAGGUAACGGCUUACCAAGGCAACGAUGCAUAGCCGACCUGAGAGGGUGAACGGCCACAACGGAACUUAGACACGGUCCAGAAUCCUACGGGAGGCAUCAGGAGGGAAUCUUCCGCAAUGGGCGAAAGCCUGGCGGAGCAACGCCGCGUGGGUGAUGAAGGUCUUCGGAUCGUAAAACUCUGUUAUUAGGGAAGCGGUACCUAGUCAGAAAGCCACGGCUAACUACGUGCCAGCAGCCGCGGUAAUAC